rnacentral:rRNA from 1 species
AACGCUAACUACAGGCUUAACACAUGCAAGUCGAGGGGCAGCAUUUUGGUUUGCAUGCAAACUGAAGAUGGCGACCGGCGCACGGGUGAGUAACACGUAUCCAACCUGCCGAUAACUCCGGAAUAGCCUUUCGAAAGAAAGAUUAAUACCGGAUAGUAUACGAAUAUCGCAUGAUAUUUUUAUUAAAGAAUUUCGGUUAUCGAUGGGGAUGCGUUCCAUUAGUUUGUUGGCGGGGUAACGGCCCACCAAGACUACGAUGGAUAGGGGUUCUGAGAGGAAGGUCCCCCACAUUGGAACUGAGACACGGUCCAAACUCCUACGGGAGGCAGCAGUGAGGAAUAUUGGUCAAUGGGCGCGAGCCUGAACCAGCCAAGUAGCGUGAAGGAUGAAGGCUCUAUGGGUCGUAAACUUCUUUUAUAUGGGAAUAAGGUUUUCCACGUGUGGAAUUUUGUAUGUACCAUAUGAAUAAGGAUCGGCUAACUCCGUGCCAGCAGCCGCGGUAAUACGGAGGAUCCGAGCGUUAUCCGGAUUUAUUGGGUUUAAAGGGAGCGUAGGUGGAUUGUUAAGUCAGUUGUGAAAGUUUGCGGCUCAACCGUAAAAUUGCAGUUGAAACUGGCAGUCUUGAGUACAGUAGAGGUGGGCGGAAUUCGUGGUGUAGCGGUGAAAUGCUUAGAUAUCACGAAGAACUCCGAUUG